GAUGAACGCUGGCGGCGUGCCUAAUACAUGCAAGUCGAGCGAACGGACGAGAAGCUUGCUUCUCUGAUGUUAGCGGCGGACGGGUGAGUAACACGUGGAUACUCUACCUAUAAGACUGGGAUAACUUCGGGAAACCGGAGCUAAUACCGGAUAAUAUUUUGAACCGCAUGGUUCAAAAGUGAAAGACGGUCUUGCUGUCACUUAUAGAUGGUUCCGCGCUGCAUUAGCUAGUUGGUAAGGUAACGGCUUACCAAGGCAACGAUGCCUAGCCGACCUGAGAGGGUGAUAGGCCACACUGGAGCUGAGCCGCGGUCCAGACUCCUAAGGGAGGCAGCAGUAGGGAAUCUGACGCAAUGGGCGGAAGCCUUACGGAGCAACGCCGCGUGAGAGAUGAAGGUCUUCGGAUCGUAAAACUCUGUUAUUAGGGAAGAACAGAUGUGUAAGUAGCUGUACACAUCGUGACGGUACCUAAUCAGAAAGCCACGGCUAACUACGUG
rnacentral:rRNA from 1 species